rnacentral:rRNA from 1 species
UACGUUCCCGGGCCUUGUACACACCGCCCGUCACGUCACGAAAGUCGGUAACACCCGAAGCCGGUGGCCCAACCCCUUGUGGGAGGGAGCCGUCGAAGGUGGGACUGGCGAUUGGGACA